CAUGAUGUUAAAGAGUCCGCCGUGAUGAAUAUUAUUAAGAGAUUUCAAAAACCUGAUAACCGAUAUUUGACUACUGACUUUAAACUAAGUUUAAUUUUUAGACAAAAUCACGUGAAACGUGUUUUAGAUUGUUCGUUUUAUUUUCCCCAGACUAUAAGAACAGAAGGCUUAAUUGCAAAUAUCUCUUCUUCCACUUAUUGCAACAAACCUUGCAUUCCUCUUCCCGACUAUGGCUCCCAGAGUUGUGGCAGGCAGCUCAUUUUAUGUUGCAUACAGAAGUACUUCCAGUGUCCUGAAGCUGUGGUUUGAAAGCACUUCCAGGUGAGAUGGGAGCCUGACAAAGUAGGAUUCACCAGUCCCCACAGCACCCUCUAGUAGCACCUACGGAACCCAACAGGGCUGAGUCAACAAACUCCAUUUCCCAAGGUGUCCUAUGGGAAUCCGUGGCAAUGCCAUAACCCAGAGGUUACCAUCUAUUACCCUGGGGGAUAUAAAGCCCUGUCCUUCCAGGUUGUUGGGUAUCCUGGCCAGAUGUACAAGUUGCUUAACAGUAUCAUUUAUUUACAAACAUCUUGACCACAUUCUUCUUUCUGAGUCAACUUUGGUUUUCUGACAUUCCCUGUACUGUGAGAUUUAAGUGGUACAAAAAGAGGCAGGACCACCCUGAUGUCACAGAUGCUGAGAGCAACCUAAACCUUUAUACAGAAGUGAAAGAGAAGAUCCCAGCAGUGAUUCAUUGAAUGAUGUAAGAGUUGUCUUUUAAGUAUUGUUUUCCCCUUUGAUAUUUCUGGUUUCAGUUCUGUUCUUGGAUUACUGAAUUUUGGAUUUCAUACUGGGAUUUUUUCACCUUGUAUUGUCUUUUUAGCAAAGUCUUUUUUUUGCCCUGUAUGCUAUUUUUUCUAAUUUUGUACUUCUAAUGUUUGCUUUUCUGUAAUUCAUUAUUUAAAUACUGUAUAUCACUGUUUUGGACUUAUUUGUUCAAGCCAAGAAGUUUCACUUUUCCUUUCUCUUGAAGGGAAUUUUUCUGUAUUUCUUGACCACCAAGAUAUUUUGAAAUUUUAAAGUAACCUUUCCUCUUAGGGCCUAGUAGACUACAGCCUAUCUGUGGAGUUUGUGAGCUGGUUGUGCAGAGGUGAGAGGUUACAUCUGAGGUUUGUGUGACAUUUAGGGGGCUUCACACUAGAGGUCUGUACAGUACUCAUUAUUUCAGUUUAGUUUGUUUUGGUUUAGUAAAGCUGCAAUUUUAUAAGAACAUAUAUUCUCAGGGAGCAUAUCUCCCCUGCUAGAUACUCAAACCAAUUAGUAAAAAACUUCUAUUAAAUAUACAAUCGAUAUAAUAUUAGAUUUUCCUUAUGAGUUCUACAUUUUUGUCUACAUAUUUCAUACCCUUAAAAAGUGCAUCUUGACUAAAUAAUCCUACAUUCCUACGAGUAUUAACACACAACACAAAUUUAAACAUUACUAUUCUUAUUCUAAAGAAACUGUAAAAAGUACUAUUUUCACCCCAAUAUAUUUGUGCUUGAAGAUGCUGAAGAAAGUCAAUCUGUCUGCCCAGGCCCUGUCUUUUACAGACAUUCAGUAGAGAGCAUAUUGACUAGCUACAUCACUGUCUGCUAUGACAAGUGCAGUUUGGCUAAUUGCAAGACCCUGCCAUGUGUGGUAAAAAAGCCAAACUCAUCAUUGGAGUCUUACCGCCAUUCAUGCAGGGAUGUUUAUGAUAACAGAUACCUUUAAAAAAGUACUUUCGAUUGUGACAGACCUGUCACAACCCUGAAACAACUACUCUCCUGCCAUCCAGUAAGUGAUACUGUAGCAUUCAAUGUAAAAACACCCUAUCAGACUGCAUGACAGAAUAAUUUAUACAGUUUUGUUACUGAUAUUUACUUUUAAUGCAGAAUAAUUAUAUAUUAAUUUAUUGUAGUUGUCCUAGCUCUGUUAUGUGUCUGCAUUGUCUUUGUACCAUGUACUUUAUUGUCGCUGUAUGUUU